UGCCAGCAGCCGCGGUAACACGGGGGGCGCAAGCGUUAUUCGGAAUUAUUGGGCGUAAAGGGCGCGCAGGCGGUCUUGUCCGUCAGGUGUGAAAGCUCGGGGCUCAACCCCGGAAGUGCACUUGAAACAGCAAGACUUGAAUACGGUAGAGGAGAGAGGAAUUCCUGGUGUAGAGGUGAAAUUCGUAGAUAUCAGGAGGAACACCGAUGGCGAAGGCGGCCUGCUGGGCUUGUUCUGACGCUAAGGCGCGAAAGCGUGGGGAGCAAACAGGAUUAGAUA
rnacentral:rRNA from 1 species